GGAGAAGUUAAAGCAAAGAUACACAUAUACAAUUAUGAAGCUUGUGGGUAGAUCAUAAUCAUGAUCAGCUUUGUUUUGUGGUUUAGUGGUGUGAGUACUCACUUCAACAUUCAACUUUGAAUGAUUCAACCUACUUGAAAAGUACUGUAGUAGGGAGAUCAAGUUCGAUGCCCCGGCCAGUACACCUGCUCCAGAAGUUGGAGAGUCGGUGAUCGACUACAGUGUACUUGUCUCAAGUAGAGGACACUAAAGGGAACAAUGGACACAGAGGUAAAGUGUUUGUGACCAACCUGCGAGUGAUUUGGACGUCAGCUGACUAUCAGAGAGUCAACCUUUCCAUUGGUUACCACACAGUGACCUCAGUGACUACAAAGAGAGUGAAUUCU